AGAACGAACGCUGGCGGCAUGCCUAACACAUGCAAGUCGAACGUGAUCCAGGCUUCGGCCUGGUGAAAGUGGCAGACGGGUGAGUAACGCGUGGGAACCUGCCCUGUGGUAGGGAAUAACCGUGGGAAACUGCGGCUAAUACCCUAUGAGUCCUUCGGGAGAAAGAUUUAUCGCCAUAGGAGGGGCCCGCGUCGGAUUAGGUAGUUGGUGGGGUAACGGCCUACCAAGCCUUCGAUCCGUAGCUGGUCUGAGAGGAUGAUCAGCCACACUGGGACUGAGAUACGGCCCAGACUCCUACGGGAGGCAGCAGUGGGGAAUAUUGGACAAUGGGGGCAACCCUGAUCCAGCAAUGCCGCGUGGAUGAUGAAGGCCUUCGGGUUGUAAAGUCCUUUCGGCGGGGAAGAUGAUGACGGUACCCGCGAGAAGAAGCCCCGGCUAACUUCGCGCCAGCAGCCGC
rnacentral:rRNA from 1 species